rnacentral:rRNA from 1 species
AUUGAACGCUGGCGGCAGGCCUAACACAUGCAAGUCGAACGAGUGGCGGACGGGUGAGUAAUGUCUGGGAAACUGCCUGAUGGAGGGGGAUAACUACGGGAAACGGUAGCUAAUACCGCAUACCAUCGGAUGUGCCCAGAUGGGAUUAGCUAGUGGGUGGGGGAAAGGCUCACCUAGGCGAAGAUCCCUAGCUGGUCUGAGAGGAGGACCAGCCACACUGGAACUGAGACACGGUCCAGACUCCUACGGGAGGCAGCAGGGGGGAAUAUUGCACAAUGGGCGCAAGCCUGAUACAGCCAUGCCGCUUGUAUGAAGAAGGCCUUCGGGUUGUAAAGUACUUUCAGCGGGGAGGCGUUACCCGCAGAAGAAGCACCGGCUAACUCCGUGCCAGCAGCCGCGGUAAUUC